rnacentral:rRNA from 1 species
GACGAACGCUGGCGGCGUGCUUAACACAUGCAAGUUGGACGGUAUGUCAUGGAAGCUUGCUGAAGUGACAUAUAGUGGCGAACGGGUGAGUAAUGCAUGAGAAUUUAUCCUUAGGAGGGGGACAACAGCUGGAAACGGCUGCUAAUACCCCGUAUGCCGGAAGGUGAAAGGUGCGAGAGUGCCGCCUGGGGUUGAGCUCAUGUCCUAUCAGCUAGUUGGUGGGGUAACGGCCUACCAAGGCGACGACGGGUAGCCGGCCUGAGAGGGUGAACGGCCACACUGGAACUGAGACACGGUCCAGACUCCUACGGGAGGCAGCAGUGGGGAAUUUUGGGCAAUGGGGGGAACCCUGACCCAGCGACGCCGCGUGAGGGAAGACAGCCUUCGGGUUUUAAACCUCUUUUGUACGGGAAGAUAAUGACGGUACUGUACGAAUAAGUCCCGGCUAACUACGUG